UACGGAGGGUGCAAGCGUUAUCCGGAUUCACUGGGUUUAAAGGGUGCGUAGGCGGCGCGGUAAGUCGGGUGUGAAAUCUCGGAGCUUAACUUCGAAACUGCAUUCGAUACUGCCGUGCUUGAGGACUGGAGAGGAGACUGGAAUUUACGGUGUAGCGGUGAAAUGCGUAGAUAUCGUAAGGAAGACCAGUGGCGAAGGCGGGUCUCUGGACAGUUCCUGACGCUGAGGCACGAAGGCCAGGGGAGCAAACGGG
rnacentral:rRNA from 1 species